rnacentral:lncRNA from 1 species
GUACUUGCUUCAUUAGACAGUUCAAACCAGCUGGCCGCGUAAUCUGGACAAAUACAGGAAUGCAUCCGCAAUCAGUGCGAUGUGGGGCGGCGCAAUCCAAAAUAGGCCGGUGCAAAACUGUAAUCUUUAAAACACGGCAAAAUAUUUUCAAACCGCGUAUCACUACUACCCAUUCCAUGUGCGUCAUUUACUAUUUGCAUUUUCCGUCCAGCUGAUCUCCCUUUUCCCCUUGCCGUACUCCAGCGCCCUGCUUUCACCUAGUCAGUCGUUGCCUUCUUCCCCAGAUCAUCAUCAUCUUCCUCGAGUCCAUCCACCCAGCCACGGACGCAGAGAGACCCGGCGAUGGAUCCCCCGCCCGCUCAGACGAUGUCCGCGACCGAAGACCUCCAGGACAAGAGCGUCGACGAGUGGUACGUACCCGCGCUCGAUCCCGUCCGUCGUAUUAUCCUUUCCUCUCUCCGCUCUGCUCUGGUUGCUCUUCGAUUGAUCUGUUUGUGGUUGUGUCCACCGAAUGAUUCGUCUCAAUUUGCAGCUGCUCUUGCUGCUACGACUGCUGCUCCAGCAUCCUGGACUUCCUGUGCUGCGCUUGAAUCUAGAAUUCCGAUGCGGCUCCUCGAUCGCUGACGUUCCCCGCGGCUUCAGAUGGAACCGCGGAGAGGGCCCUCAGUUAAAAAUCCUGGGUCUAAUUUAGAUGUUCCGAGUUUUCAGAUUAUUACUGAUAUAUAGGUCUUGGGUAAUCUUUGUGAGUUGAAACUCUAAUGAACUUCACCAUAGUAGGUAAGGAGAUUUAUGGAUUAACUGAUGGACUCUAUAUUUCGAUGCAGUUGCCUGUUAUUAUGUUACAGGAAUUAUAUUAAGUGUGUGCAGAUCGAUUGGACAAGGAUAGCACUAGCCAUUCCUGUUAUUUCGAUCGAAUUUGAAAUCUCCCAUCGUAGCUAGAGACGGUUCCUGACUUCCUCAGUCCAUGAGACCAUGACUGGAUGGUCGACAUUGACGCCCUGCAUCGGGCUGAAGGCUGAAAUCAUGGCACCUGAAAUCAGCAGUGUAUUAGGGAGUGGAACGUUGAUUCGGA